CUCACCCAGUCUGUACUUCUCCUUAGCCUCAGCCCGCUCUUUUGCAUCAAAGUACCAAACGGUGAUGGCGUAGCUAGUUGUAAAAGCUAGUU